rnacentral:rRNA from 1 species
GUGAACGCUGGCGGUAGGCCUAACACAUGCAAGUCGCACGGCAGCACAGUAAGAGCUUGCUCUUACGGGUGGCGAGUGGCGGACGGGUGAGGAAUACAUCGGAAUCUACUUUUUCGUGGGGGAUAACGUAGGGAAACUUACGCUAAUACCGCAUACGACCUACGGGUGAAAGCAGGGGAUCUUCGGACCUUGCGCGAUUGAAUGAGCCGAUGUCGGAUUAGCUAGUUGGCGGGGUAAAGGCCCACCAAGGAGACGAUCAGUAGCUGGUCUGAGAGGAUGAUCAGCCACACUGGAACUGAGACACGGUCCAGACUCCUACGGGAGGCAGCAGUGGGGAAUAUUGGACAAUGGGCGCAAGCCUGAUCCAGCCAUACCGCGUGGGUGAAGAAGGCCUUCGGGUUGUAAAGCCCUUUUGUUGGGAAAGAAAAGCGGCAGGUUAAUACCCCGCUGUUCUGACGGUACCCAAAGAAUAAGCACCGGCUAACUUCGUG